AGAYAAUGUCACAUGAUACUGUUGUUUGAUCAAGCAGCACAGCUCACAACCCUGGAGACCAGACUGUCAGCUGCAGAGAGCCAAGUGGAAAGGCUGAGGAACAUGGAGGUGAAUGUUGCUCUCCUACACAGAGAGAACAAAUCUCAAGUAGCACAGCUGACAGCCAUGGAGAGCAGACUGAGCACCAGUGAGAGCCGGAUGGAGAAUGAGCACCAGUGAGAGCCUGAUGGAGAGGAUGGAGACAAAGCAUAAAGGAGAGGAAGCUUCAAGAUUUGACAUUGAGGAUCAACACCACAGAGUUCAGAGUGGAACAACAGCAAACCCUGCUGGACGAACUGAGAAGACACAUUGAGGGUAAGGGACAGGGGAUACUGAAUAAAAAAAGAGUUCACAGAAAUAGCUGUAUACAGUACAUCUCGG